rnacentral:misc_RNA from 1 species
CAGAGUGUAAAAACUCCCUAAACCAUUGUGAACUUACCUAUCUGUUGCUUCGGUGGGCAGCCCCCUCUCCGGGGGGGCCCCUCGGCCGCAAGGCGCCCGCCGGAGGUAUCUAAAAACUCUUGUCUUCUGAACCGGUCUUUCUGAGUAAAAAAAGAAAUCAGUUA